ACAACUCCCAGAAUGCACUGCACUUGCUGCCCUGUGACACAGCCAUAGGCCACACCCCCUUCUUACAGAGUGAAGCAGACAGAGUACUGGUUGUGUAAACACAGGAAUCCCCAUGAGGAAUUAGUUGGCAAAUACUUCACUUGUAAAUUACAAUGGUGCUGAAUUGUAAUGGGAUGUGCAGUAAAACAAGGAUAGGACAAGCAGUAAGUUUCCCUCAUUUGCCGGUCAGAGAUUCGGAGUGGUGAGCUAUCAACCACUCGGAGUUUGAAGAAGACACUGAAAUGUAAAAGCUGGAAACUCAGAGGAUUUGCUGUCUCCAUUUGCAGCAGGAAGACGUUGCUGAGAGGAGAAGCAUGGUUUAAUCAAGUCUUGAAGAAAAUCUUCACACCACAUCCAGUGUCUGCUCCUCUUCACCAGACUCCUCCAGCUGUGGCAAAUCAGAUUCUGUCGCUGCUGUAUAUGUUUCAUGGUUUAUUUAUUUUUUUGCAUAUUGUGUUGUGUUAGACAUUCUUUUAGAUUUGUCUCUGUUGAUUUUAAUUUGUGCCCUUGAAUAUGAUGGCAAAACAUUUUCCUUUGUGAAUAAUAAAGUUGUUUUUUUUGAA